GCUUACGGCCACACCGCUGGUUCACGCCCGAUCUCGUUUGAUCUCGGAAGCUAAGAUAGGUUGGGCCUGGUUAGUACUUGGAUGGGAGACCGCCUGGGAAUACCAGGUGCUGUAAACU
rnacentral:rRNA from 1 species